rnacentral:rRNA from 1 species
GACGAACGCUGGCGGCGUGCUUAACACAUGCAAGUCGAACGGAAAGGCCCUGCUUUUGUGGGGUGCUCGAGUGGCGAACGGGUGAGUAACACGUGAGUAACCUGCCCUUGACUUUGGGAUAACUUCAGGAAACUGGGGCUAAUACCGGAUAGGAGCUCCUGCUGCAUGGUGGGGGUUGGAAAGUUUCGGCGGUUGGGGAUGGACUCGCGGCUUAUCAGCUUGUUGGUGGGGUAGUGGCUUACCAAGGCUUUGACGGGUAGCCGGCCUGAGAGGGUGACCGGCGACAUUGGGACUGAGAGACGGCCCAGACUCCUACGGGAGGCAGCAGUGGGGAAUAUUGCACAAUGGGCGGAAGCCUGAUGCAACAACGCCGCGUGCGGGAUGACGGCCUUCGGGUUGUAAACCGCUUUCGCCUGUGACGAAGCGUGAGUGACGGUAAUGGGUGAAGAAGCACCGGCUAACUACGUG